CCCUUAGAUGUUCUGGGCCGCACACGCGCUACACUGAAGGAGGCAGCGUGUACUCCUGGAUCGAAAGAUUUGGGUAACCCGCGAAUCUCCUUCGUGCUAGGGAUUGAGGUUUGCAAUUAUCCUUCAUGAACGAGGAAUUCCCAGUAAGUGCAAGUCAUAAGCUUGCGCUGACUACGUCCCUGCCCUUUGUACACACCGCCCGUCGCCACUACCGAUUGAAUGAUUUAGUGAGGACUUCGGACUGGGACCGAUGCGGCUUUCGGGCUGCGUCGGUAUUCUGGAAAGAUGUCCAAACUGUAUCAUUUAGAGGAAGUAAAAGUCGUANCA
rnacentral:rRNA from 1 species